ACUGUUGGAGAUGCAGUUCCUUCUCGUCCCCUGCUUGGCUGCUGCUGAUGAUUGCAGAGCUCAGCAAGGCUCAGGUCCUGUCUCCCUGAAGGCUUUGUCGUGUCCAAAGCCCCCUGAACCAUCGAGGGACACAAAGGACCGAAGCACGGGACCAGGCUGAUGGAGGAGAAAGAGGAUUGAGAUGACUGUUCCUGCCAUGGAGAGUGCCAGGCCCUUCAGAGGGCUUUCAACCCAGCAUCCAAGUGCAGGGCAGCAGCAAAUGAGGGGAGAUCCUGACCCAUCUCCAAAGGUCCCAAACACCAGGAUCCAGUAGAAGAAACUGCUCACAAGACUCACCAACUGUGACAUUCUGGAGAUGGACAGAUGAACAGAAAGUCAUGAGGACGUGUUCUCUCUGAGGAGUGGGAGAAACAUCGUCACACAUCUGUGCCACCCCCUCCCAGGCUCAGGGACCAUCGCGGAAGAGGGGGCGGAAAGAGUGUAAGAGCCAGAGGAUGGGGUGGACCAUACCAUGGGUGACAGACAGGCAAACACUAUCUUAAGGAGUUCAUCUGAGUCUGCACGCAAAAGAUCUUCCCAGUGGGGGCUGGUUGAGGCCGUACCUCAACAGAUGUUCCUCAAGUAUCCAUCUGCUCCCUACCACCUAACAAGAUGCAUGGGAGAGAAGCUAACAGAUAUAAGAACUGGGAAGAGGAGAGCCGGGACACCAUCUUGGCAACUGUGGGGAAAGCCUUGAUUAGUACUGGGUAAGGCUUUGGCUUUCCAGGUGUGGACUGGCUGUGGGGAGUAGUGCCCACACCCCGAUAAGGCAUCCCCGACAUAGGCUCUGUAAGAAAGCUCAAUAAAUUCAUUGGUUGUCCAGAGUGAA